rnacentral:rRNA from 1 species
AUACGUAGGUGGCAAGCGUUAUCCGGAUUUACUGGGUGUAAAGGGCGCGUAGGCGGGGAUGCAAGUCAGAUGUGAAAUCUAUGGGCUUAACCCAUAAACUGCAUUUGAAACUGUAUCUCUUGAGUGUCGGAGAGGUAGAUGGAAUUCCUUGUGUAGCGGUGAAAUGCGUAGAUAUAAGGAAGAACACCAGUGGCGAAGGCGAUCUACUGGACGAUAACGGACGCUGAGGCGCGAAAGCGUGGGGAGCAAACAGGAUUAUAUACCCUGGUAGUCCACGCUGUAAACGAUGAAUACUAGGUGUGGGGGGACUGACCCCUUCCGUGCCGCAGUUAACACAAUAAGUAUUCCACCUGGGGAGUACGGCCGCAAGGCUGAAACUCAAAUGAAUUGACGGGG